AAGCAAUACAAAAGUAAUAUAGGCCUAGACCAAAUUAGUGGAGAAAAAGGUGAAUCUCCUGUGCCAGUCUCCCUCUGGUGCCCCCCCUUCCCCACCUCGCAGUGGUCUGUUCCUCAAUCAGUGUCAAAUUUGGCAGACACCUGAUCGACAUCAGACAUGGCCUCGAAAAGGCACCAAGAGUCGGGGGCGGAAAAAAGGAAAAAGAAGAGACAGUGGGAUGAUACUCGUUUGCAGGGUCAAUGCUAAAAUACAUGCAAGGAGCAACUCAAGGCCAGGAGGAAGAACCAUCAACCAGCAGUUGUAGCCAGUUCCAAAUAUGUGUUUUUAGUAAUUGUGGUGUUUUUUGGUAUUUAUAAUUUUAACCUUUUUAUUAUUUAUUUCUUUUCAUAUUUGGUGCCAUUGUUAAUGUAAAUGUAUUUAUUUGCAGCAGUUAUUUUGGAAGUAAAGAGAACCUAACUAAGAAAUUCU